rnacentral:piRNA from 1 species
UGAGAGAGGCCCUCCCAUGUGAGCAUUUGG